rnacentral:lncRNA from 1 species
UGUUAAUCAGUUCACCUGUGUUCCUUUUUACUUUUGUUAGUCUUCUUAAAAAUUCCCCUCUGUUUUGUGCUUCUUUGUUUCUUAGCUUCGUUCUGUGGGUGACUUCUCCAGGCACUGAUGUGUGGCCACUCUCUUGUGCUCUGUCUCUGUUGCACUUGCAGGUGCCAGGAGGUUUUCUGAGAGCCCUUAGGCACUGUGUGGUGUGCAUCUCCUGAUAAAAUGGGAGUCUAAUUCGUUCUUUGAGUCUGCACAGGGAGGAAAUUGGAGAUUUGGACACAGAGGAACAGGAACAGAAGAAAGACAGCAGGUGGAAGAUAGAAGCAGAGAUUGAAGUGGUGCUGCCUCAAGCCAAGGAGCACCAAGGAGUGCCAGCCCCUGUCAGGAGCUAGAAAAUUUCAAAAACAACAAGCAACAGGGAGGACAUUUUGAUACAUGUACUACAUUGGU